UACGGAGGGUGCAAGCGUUAUCCGGAUUCACUGGGUUUAAAGGGUGCGUAGGCGGGCAGGUAAGUCAGUGGUGAAAUCUUCGAGCUUAACUCGGAAACUGCCGUUGAUACUAUCUGUCUUGAAUAUCGUUGAGGUGAGCGGAAUAUGUCAUGUAGCGGUGAAAAUGCUUAGAUAUGACAUAGAACACCGAUUGCGAAGGCAGCUCACUAACCGAUCAUUGACGCUGAGGCACGAAAAGCGUGGGGGAUCAAAACAGGA
rnacentral:rRNA from 1 species